rnacentral:rRNA from 1 species
GAUGAACGCUAGCUACAGGCUUAACACAUGCAAGUCGAGGGGUAACGAGAGGAAAGCUUGCUUUCCUUGUCGACGACCGGCGCGCGGGUGAGUAACGCGUAUCCAACCUGCCCCCAACUAAGGAAUAACCUUGCGAAAGUAAGACUAAUACCUUAUAAUUUCCUCAGAUGUCAUCUGACGAGGAAUAAAGAUUUAUCGGUUGUGGAUGGGGAUGCGUCUGAUUAGCUUGUUGGCGGGGUAACGGCCCACCAAGGCAACGAUCAGUAGGGGUUCUGAGAGGACGGUCCCCCACAUUGGAACUGGGACACGGUCCAAACUCCUACGGGAGGCAGCAGUGAGGAAUAUUGGUCAAUGGGCGGAAGCCUGAACCAGCCAAGUAGCGUGCAGGAUGACGGCCCUAUGGGUUGUAAACUGCUUUUAUACAGGAAUAAAGUUAGCCACGUGUGGUUAUUUGUAGGUACUGUAUGAAUAAGGACCGGCUAAUUCCGUGCCAGCCGCCGCCGUAA